rnacentral:rRNA from 1 species
UACGAAGGGGGCUAGCGUUGCUCGGAAUCACUGGGCGUAAAGCGCACGUAGGCGGACUCUUAAGUCGGUGGUGAAAUCCUGGAGCUCAACUCCAGAACUGCCUUCGAUACUGAGGAUCUCGAGUCCGGGAGAGGUGAGUGGAACUGCGAGUGUAGAGGUGAAAUUCGUAGAUAUUCGCAAGAACACCAGUGGCGAAGGCGGCUCACUGGCCCGGUACUGACGCUGAGGUGCGAAAGCGUGGGGAGCAAACAGGG